UGACUUUCAUAAUGGAGAGAGAGAGAGAGAAAAGAUCUCCUCGGGACCUCAGAGUGGCCUGGUGGUAGCCACUCUUGAGGGGUGCAACAGGU
ensembl:snoRNA